UCCCCAGCAACGGCGCCAAAAACUUGACACGACCAAAAGAUUGAUGUCUUCUCCCAAGUGUAGGAGUGUCAAAGUAAUAAAUAACUCAGCAAGACCGAGGUCGAACCACAGAGAGGUUAAUUGUAUAAAUUAUAAUUAAUAAAACAACAACAACAACAACAACAACAACAACAACAAUAAUAACAACAAUAAUAGUAACAAUAAUAGUAAUAGUAAUAAUAAUAUUAAUAGUAAUAAUAAUAAUACUCAGUACGUGGCG
rnacentral:lncRNA from 1 species